CAAUAGCGUAUAUUAAAGUUGUUGCGGUUAAAAAGCUCGUAGUUGGAUUUCUGCCGAGGACGACCGGUCCGCCCUCCGGGUGAGUAUCUGGCUCGGCCUGGGCAUCUUCUUGGAGAACGUAGCUGCACUUGGCUGUGUGGUGCGGUAUUCAGGACUUUUACUUUGAGGAAAUUAGAGUGUUUCAAGCAGGCACACGCCUUGAAUACAUUAGCAUGGAAUAAUAAGAUAGGACCUCGGUUCUAUUUUGUUGGUUUCUAGAUCUGAGGUAAUGAUUAAUAGGGAUAGUUGGGGGCAUUCGUAUUUAACUGUCAGAGGUGAAAUUCUUGGAUUUGUUAAAGACGGACUACUGCGAAAACAUUUGCCAAGGAUGUUUUCAUUGA
rnacentral:rRNA from 1 species